UUCCGGUUGAUCCUGCCGGACCCGACUGCUAUUUGGGUGAGGAUAAGCCAUGCGAGUCGAAUGGGAUGCCUAAAAUUCCCAUGGCAAACUGCUCAGUAACACAUGAUCAACUUACCCUAUAGAGAAAAAUAACCUCGGGAAACUGAGGAUAAUGUUUCAUAAUUGAAUCGGCUUGGAAAAGUUUUUCAAUUAAAAGAAUAAGAAAAAUGGUUCUUGUUCGCUAUAGGAUAGGAUCGUGGACGAUUAUGGUUGUUGGUGAGGUAACGGCUCACCAAGCCGAUAAUCGAUAGGGGCCGUGAGAGCGGGAGCCCCGAGAUGGGUACUGAGACAACGACCCAGGCCUUACGAGGCGCAGCAGGCGCGGAACCUCCGCAAUACACGAAAGUGUGACGGGGUUACCCAAAGUGUUCAUUAUUGAACUGUGGUAGGUGAGUAAUGUUCCCUACUAGAAAGGAGAGGGCAAGGCUGGUGCCAGCCGCCGCGGUAAAACCAGCUCUUCAAGUGGUCGGGAUAAUUAUUGGGCUUAAAGUGUCCGUAGCUGGUUUAGUAAGUUCCUGGUAAAAUCGGGUAGCUUAACUAUCCGUAUGCUAGGAAUACUGCUAUACUAGAGGGCGGGAGAGGUCUGAAGUACUACAGGGGUAGGGGUGAAAUCUUAUAAUCCUUGUAGGACCACCAGUGGCGAAGGCGUCAGACUGGAAACGCGCCUGACAGUGAGGGACGAAAGCCAGGGGAGCGAACCGGAUUAGAUACCCGGGUAGUCCUGGCCGUAAACGAUGCAUACUAGGUGAUGGUACGGCCAUGAGCCGUAUCAGUGCCGUAGGGAAACCGUUAAGUGUGCCGCCUGGGAAGUACGGUCGCAAGGCUAAAACUUAAAGGAAUUGGCGGGGGAGCACCACAAGGGGUGAAGCCUGCGGUUCAAUUGGAU
rnacentral:rRNA from 1 species